GAUGAACGCUGGCGGCGUGCCUAAUACAUGCAAGUCGAGCGAACAGAUAAGGAGCUUGCUCCUUUGACGUUAGCGGCGGACGGGUGAGUAACACGUGGGUAACCUACCUAUAAGACUGGGAUAACUUCGGGAAACCGGAGCUAAUACCGGAUAACAUUUGGAACCGCAUGGUUCUAAAGUGAAAGAUGGUUUUGCUAUCACUUAUAGAUGGACCCGCGCCGUAUUAGCUAGUUGGUAAGGUAACGGCUUACCAAGGCGACGAUACGUAGCCGACCUGAGAGGGUGAUCGGCCACACUGGAACUGAGACACGGUCCAGACUCCUACGGGAGGCAGCAGUAGGGAAUCUUCCGGAAUGGGCGGAAGCCUGACGGAGCAACGCCGCGUGAGUGAUGAAGGGUUUCGGCUCGUAGAACUCUGUUAUUAGGGAAGAACAAAUGUGUAAGUAACUGUGCACGUCUUGACGGUACCUAAUCAGAAAGCCACGGCUAACUACGUG
rnacentral:rRNA from 1 species